GGGCGAUUAGCUCAGUUGGUAGAGCGCCUGCUUUACAUGCAGGAUGUCGGCGGUUCGAGCCCGUCAUCGCCCACCA
rnacentral:tRNA from 1 species